rnacentral:rRNA from 1 species
CUUUUCUUGAUUUUAUAUGAAGUAUAACCUGCCCAAUGAAGUUAUUGAAUGGCCGCGGUAUUUUGACCGUGCAAAGGUAGCAUAAUCAUUAGUCUUUUAAUUGGAGGCUGGAAUGAAUGGUUUGACGAAAUAACAACUGUCUUAUAAUUAUUAUAGUUGAAUUUAAUUAUUAAGUUAAAAAGCUUAAAUUUGUUUUUGGGACGAGAAGACCCUAUAGAGUUUAAAUAAUUUAUUGUAUUAGAUGAUGUAAGUUUAGGUAGGUAUAUAAUGAAUUAUUUGAUUGGGGUGAUAAAAAGAUAAAAUGUAACUCUUUUGUUUAAACUUUACAUUGAUUUAUGUGUUUUUGAUCCAUUUAUGUUGAUUAUAAGAUUAAAUUACC